ensembl:lncRNA novel transcript, antisense to SPATS2L
CUCGUGGGGCAGAGAUUGCACUGUGAAACCCUACCGACACUACCCCGGAAGGGCCUGGCCUCCGAGGUGUCUGCAGCGUGCUGCCUUCGCCGGGGCUUUUCAGAAUGGGCCGGGGCCUCGGGGGUCUUCAUCCCCAAGGAAGCCUCUUGAUUUUUGGCACCGCCUUUGUUUUUGGGCCGGAAGCCGUUGUGCGGCUGUCUUCUGUGUUCGUGGCGGCUGUUGCCCUUUCCCAGUGGCUCGGCUUCAUUCCCACUGCCCUGCGACUUGGCAGGCCCAUUUAGCCUGUUGUUAUGAUACUGUGGAUUAAAUCUCCGUCUUUGGUUAGAAGAUCCAUUCUACCAAAAAAGAAAAGAGAUAAGUAUCAGAUGCCAGCAAGCCACUGAUGACACCAGUAGACAUCAGGAAAACCAAAUCUCUAAGCCACAGUUAUAAGCAAAGAAAAUUUGAAGCCUCUAUUAAAAAAUCAUUCCUUCAACACAUCACUGACCAGGAACGUAAAUGGAUGAGCAGUAAGGACGCAAUGGAUUAAGCUCCUUUACAAGGGAAAGAUUUCUGAACUCCUCAAGGUAAUUGCAGCAAAGCACAUCAUCUGAUCUUGAGAACCCAGCAGCCAUUCAGAGGAGCUCCAACCUACAUCCUCGUGCCAUUCCCCACCUCCCGCCACUGUCAGUGGCUUUGAGCAGCUCCAAUCCAUCUACACCCUCUGGCAAUGGCAGCCUCUUAACAGAAGAGCUCAGUCUGUGCCCUUUGACAAGUUUCUUCACCACCACAAGGCUGCACGUUCCUCUGGUAGCCACACACCUUCUUCGAUCAGGAUAUGACCGGUUACUCAGCAAAGGACCUCAUUUGGUAUUGUGAAGCCUACCUGAGACCACCUGUAUUUGAUGAUUAUGUAAACAUACUACUUUUCUGAAGAACCACAGGUGGUCAACGUAAGUAACCCAAGUUUCUGUUUUUAGAAGCAAUUUAAAAUAUGCUUUAUUUAAUAGCAAAAAGAGUACUAAAAUGAGAUGACAUUUCCAUUAACCUACAUUUCAUUUUUCAAGAAGACUUGAGAUUUUGCAAAACAUCGUAAAUGGGAAAUGAAGUCUCUAAAGAACUUAACAAUUCAAGCAGGCGUGUCCAUUCAUUCAUUAUUCAUUCAUUUAUCUAACUCUAUCUGGGGGUCAACUAUGUAUCAAACCCAAGAAUAGUAAUAGUAAGACCCAUUCUCUGCCUCCAAGAAGCACAGUCUCACAUGGGGAGACAGAGCCACAACUAACAAUUACACUCCGUGGAAUAACAGCUGCAGUGGAGAAUGCAGAGAAGCCCACAGAAGUACAAGGUGAAUGACAGAGGAAGGGCGAAUCAUUCAGGCAGGGUAGGAGAAAGAAGAGAGUUGAGUCCCUGAGGAGGACAUCCCAGACAGAGGAAACAGCCUUUGCAAAGGAGGCAGACACAUUCAAGGUCAGGGUGGCGAAUGAGAGAUGCGUGGAGAUGCGGCAGUGGAUAAGGGUGUAAAAGGUGGACGGGGUCCACUCAUGCAGGGGAUGUAUGUUAUGCCGAAGAGACCAGACUCUGAUUGCAACCAUAUUUUCAAUUUAAAUCCUUAUCGUUAUAAUCCAACAAGGUAGAGAUAUUUUAAAAUGAAACAGUUAAAAUGAUUGUCAAUUUUAAGUUUCAGUUGUCUUGAAUAUUAAACCUGAAAUCAUUAGCUACCUGCUUCUUUGGACUAAAAGCUGCAUGAAGGCAGGAAUCAUUUCCUCACCAAAGCACCUACUCGAAUUCAUCCAAUAGAGGACCCACUAGAGACAGCUGAUGAACUCAUUGGAUUCCAACACUUCUUAUGAAGUAAUUAAUUUCCCACAGUGCUCGACUAGAUACUGCAUCACCAACACUAAAUAGAUGUUUUAUCUGAUCUCUACAAGCUUGUAAUCUAAGACAUAACAGUUGUUAUUCUUAAUUUUGAGAAUUAAAAUGUCAUUGCUCUGUGUGACAGAUUGAGAAACAAACUAAUCAUAAAAAUUUUUAGGCCAUAAAAGCUAAUAACUAAAGACAGUAAGUAUACUAAAAUAAAUCAAUGUCAAAUUAUAAACGUUCAGAAUUUUCAGUUGUUUAUUAUGAUUUAUUUCAUUGAGUUGAGAAAUCUAUUAACCUUUUGACAUGGGAAGAUGGAAUUCACUAAAUAAGUUAGAGAAGCACUACUUCCAUUGUCAUCACCCUCUUUCAAAAUAGUGCCAACAUUUUUAUAAGUUACGGAAAUGCAGUGGGAAAACACUACUGUUAAUUGUCAGGUAGACAUCUGACACUGCUCAUGAGGAGUGGGAUGACUGUGGCUCUUAAGCCUAUGCAUGGAGCAUUUACACUGAACCUCUGUGAUCUGUGUGCUAACAGAUCAGCCUAUUUUCCCUCAUUGGCAUGAUGCCACCUCUGUUUUGAAUAAGACACUCUAAUGUCGGCUGCUCUGCCUACCAUAUUGGUCUGUCCACCAGCCAUGUUUUGCAGGGAUCAAUUGCUAUGAGUCUGAUUCUUUAAAGUGCUUUUCCUUUCCAUGGUCCAACUUUAGGAGCUGUUCUAUCUCAACAGAUAUUAGGAAAGGGGCUGCCAAUCCUCGAUCAGCACCAUGGCGCCCAACCCAGAUUCUCAAAUUGGGGAAUACAUAUUCUCACUUGAAUAUAUGACUGUGAGUUCAGACAUUAUAUGAAGAAGCCAUGACAUAAAAGGGACAUCUUGCUGCUAUUUUUUACUCAAUGGCCAAUAAGUUUGUAAAGAUAUAGGAAAAAACAAACUCCGCUUCUCCUACUAUGCUCUCACAAUGCAGAAUACUUCUGGGGACCUCUGGUCACCCAAAUGUGUGGGGGACUUCUCUCCACCAAGUAAUCGUUCAGCAGUGGAUUCUUCAGCAGACAUCAGCUGGGUGUUCUCCCACUUAGUUCUCCCAGUGUUAAUUCUGACACUGUCUACCUGGAGAUAGCAUCAGAUCCCACAGAUUGAGAGCUCAGUUCCACAAGACCACCCCCCACUUCAGAUACCAGCACAAGUACAAUUGGCCCUCCAUAUCCACAGGUUCCAUAUCUGUGGAUUCAACCAACCACAGAACCAAAAUAUUUGGGAAAAAAACAGUAAAAAAUAUCAGGAGUGUACUGAGUACCUAUGGCUUUUGGAACAUCAUAAAAUCAAAAAAUCUUAAAUCAAACCACCAUAAAUAAGGGACGGUCUAUAAUUUGCUAGAGUGGCUCACAGAACUCAGGGAACACAUUUACUCGUUUAUUACAAAGGAUAUUAUUAAGGUUACUGAUGAACACAAGAGAGAAGAGAUACACAGGGCAAGGUAUGUGGAAAGGGGUUCAAAGCUAACAUGCCCUCUCUGGGUUCACCACCCCAAACCUCCAAGUAUUUAGCUCAGUCCUUUUGGGUUUUUCCAGAGGCUUCGUUACAUAGGCAUGACUGCUUACAUCAUUGGCCACUGGUGAUCAACUUAAACGUCAGCUCCUCUCUCCUCCUGCCAGUUUGGUGGGUAGGACUGAAAAUUCCAACCCUCUAAUCACCUGGUUGGUUCCCUGGGCAACCAGCCCCUAUUGGACGAUAUCCAAGAGCCCUCAGCCAAAGAUCAGCUCAUCAGCAUACAAAAAGACACUUAUCAUUUUGAAGAUACCAAGGAUUUUAGGAAUGGUAUAUAUAUUUCAUAAUAAGUAUCACAAAGUUACAGUGGUUUUAUACUGAAAUAAUGUGUGGAAUAUAUUAUUAAAUACAAUGGAUAAAAAUUUUGCAUCGAUUUUUAAGACAACAUGUAAUAAUACCCCAAGGAAAUUGUAUGUUGUCAGAAGUUAGUUUUGACCAUGUGCCCAGAGACUUGGGGUAACACAUUAGUCCUUCUGUGUCUUGGGGUCAUUUUGAUGGAAAACCCUGAGAAGCAGUAAUAUGUGGAAAGGGUACAGGCUUUAGAACCAAACACAGCUGAGUUUGAAGCCCUGUUCCUCCACAUUUCUUGAGAGUUUGACUUUGACCAAGACAAGUCUGACCUCAAGCCUCAGUGUCCUCAUCAAACAGAAAGGUUAUUUAACAUGAAGAUUUAUAAAAUAUGUAGCACAGUCGCUAAUGGAGCCAGGUGAUAUUUUUAAAACAUGUAAGAUCAAGUCAUAUUCCAGCUUAAAACCUUCCAACAGCUUCUUUUUGCUCUCUGAAUAAUGCCCUACAUGGCAGUAUUAUGGGUUCCAAACCUUUCAGUACAUGGACCUCCUUUGGCAGUCUGGUGAAGCCUUUGGGGUCUUUCUCAAAAUAAUGUUUUAAAAUUUAUGAAAUAAACUACAUGUGAUUACAAAGGAAACUACUUAUAUUGAAAUAUACUUAGAAUAUUAAUAAAAAACAAACAUGCUGCAGUAAUAUAUGUACUUCUCUAUUAACACAUCAAAUAACAUUAUAUAGUAACAAGGUUCUUCAACUACAGUAAGUUUGAAGUAAUGACGGACAACCAUUUCAGGAUAUCUGCAACAAAUGUAAUUGGAUAUGAAAAUAUCUGUGAUUUUUAAUUGUGAAAGUCACGGGUACUGCUGCUCUACUGUGGGUUUUUUGUUUGUUUGUUUUUUGAGACAAAGUCUUGCUCUGUCACCCAGCCUGGAGUGCAGUGGCGCGAUCUUGGCUCACCCCAACCUCUGCCUCCCAGGUAUAAGCGAAUCUCCUGCCUCAGCCUCCUGAGUAGCUGGGAUUACGUGUGUCUGGCACCAUACCUAGAUAAUUUUGUAUUUUUAGUAGAGACAGGGUUUCUCCAGGUUGGUCAGGCUGUCUUGAACUCCCGACCUCAGGCGAUCUGCCCGCCUCAGCCUCCUAAAGUGCUGGGAUUACAGGUGUGAGCCACCACACCUGGCCCUACUCUGGCCUUUUUUUUUUUUUUGCCUUUGCCUACAUUCAUGACUGGAGGAAACGGUAAAUUUCAUUUAGAUGUUAGUGAAGAUAAAAAUGUAUUUGUUCUCAUCUACAUUCAUGGACCCAUGGAUUCUAACCGCGAUCCCUUGGAGAUCCACGGACCUGGGUAGACAGCCAGGAUUCUAAGUGGUAUUCUUGGACUUCAUCUCCCAUCACC